GGAAGAUUAGCUCAGCUGGUAGAGCACUUGGUCGACAUCCAAGUGGUCGCAGGUUCAAGUCCUGUAUCUUCCACCA
rnacentral:tRNA from 1 species